UGGGUUGUGGCUCAGCGGUAGAGCACCCGCCUAGCAUGUUCAAAGCCCUGAGUUCGAUCCUCAGCACCACAA
rfam:Ictidomys tridecemlineatus contig026597, whole genome shotgun sequence.